rnacentral:rRNA from 1 species
UAUCACUAAGAUGAGCAAACNGGUCCCUUCCUUGCCCGAGCUCGUAACAUUGAAGAACGAUAUCUUGAACUUUGGCCUUUGUCUAUGUUCCUUGGAACAGGACGUCACANAGGGUGAGAAUCCCGUGCGAUGAGGUGUCCAAAUUCUUAUAAGAUUCCUUCGAAGAGUCGAGUUGUUUGGGAAUGCAGCUCUAAGUGGGUGGUAAAUUCCAUCUAAAGCUAAAUAUUGGCGAGAGACCGAUAGCGAACAAGUACAGUGAUGGAAAGAUGAAAAGAACUUUGAAAAGAGAGUGAAAAAGUACGUGAAAUUANUGAAAGGGCAAGGGUAUUAGAUCAGACUUGGUAUUUAGUUAUCNCUUCUCCUUGUGGGUUGUGCUCUAGCUGUUUACUGAGCCAGCAUCAGUUUUGGUGGCAGGAUAAUGACAUUUGAACGUGGCUCUUCGGAGUGAUAUAGCUUUUGUUGAUACUGCCCAUCGGGACUGAGGUCUGCGGCUUUUGCCUANGAUGCUGGCGUAAUGAUCCGGUACC